GAUGGCCAACAGGAUGGAUAAUCCGGCAGAGAUGCGAAACUUGAUGUGCGCUAUGCCUCAGCCUCAGCAACCCCUCAGCAAUUUAAAAGCAGCCCUGGUAAGCUUGAUGGAAAGGGAAGUUGGGAGAAAGAAGAUUUAAAGCCCAUGGAAUUUACAGGAAUGCCAUCAAUAAUCUGAUCCAGAAUUACCAAAUAUGGAACUCUGUGUGUGUGAUGUCAAAUUGUGUUGCAGUACACUGAGAAAUUUAAAAAUAAACGGUACAUUUCUAAGUUGAA